rnacentral:lncRNA from 1 species
UUUGUUUGCAGUUUGAGAGUCGUUUAUUUUUGGUUUAAAAAAACAAUUGCAGAAAAAUUUUGUUUUGUUUUCCCCUCUGUUGUAUGGACUGUUUAGAAAAAUAGGUUGAUACUGAAAUGCAAUUAUGGGGGGCAGUGUGGAGGUGGCUGGAGAGUGGAGACCCAUGCUGUGGAGUUUCUGUACCAUGCAUCUCCUGCCGCCGUGUUAGUUGUGCUGUGGGGUUGCUGCUGCCCUGCUGAUGGUUGAUGGGUUCCAGUGCACCUCAGGUUGUUGUUGCUCUUUUGCUUUUGUCUCAGAAGGCAGCUGAUUCAGUGCAUGGUUUGGCUCAAACAGCAGCCCACAAGCAAAUCAGACCCCGUGCUUUAUAGGGUGCAGAGGCUGGGACCAUUCACUGGUCCAGUGGAUCAGGGCACGGUUGUAUCCUGGUCCCUCCCUGCUCAGUUUGAAUGAUGAUUUUGGAGAGAUCUUGAAAUUUAGGCCUGGCUCUAAAAACUUGGAUCAGGUAUGUUGUGUGUAUGAUGAAACAGACAUUUUUCUUGACAGUUCUCUGGUUCUUGUAGAAACUGGCUGCCCUCACCUGAAACAUUGCUCACUAUCCCUUUCAGAGAACGGCCUUCUUGCAGGGAGCCGUGCAAAGCCGGCAGCUCUAUACCAGGUAGGUGAUACUCUGCUAGCAGUGGCUGCCUCCAUGCCCCUGCUUGUUUGGGUAAGCCUCUGGCUUCCCAUCAUGUUUCCCUUUGCUUGGGGGCUGCUGGUCCCUCUGGAUUGCAACAGGAGCACUUGCAUGAGCAGCUAUCCUGCCGCCGGGAGGAGGCUGCUCUGCCCAACUGGGGAGCAUGGAGGCAGGAGGGCUGGGAAAAGUACCUGAAUAGGGAAAAGGAGGGAAGGAAUAAUACAAGUGCAGUGCUGGUUCCCCAGGGUCCUGACUGGACUGGGGCUUUGGGACAGAGACCAGAGCUAUUCCUGCAUAUUUCUCUCUAGGAUUAGAUGUGGCAAAUCCUACUUUUUUACAGCAUUAUAUGUUGCUUCCUGUUUUGGAGGAGAAGGAAGACACUCUGAUGGUAACAAAGCAAGCUAGAAAGUAAGGCACAUAUGGGGUCAAUUUCAAGGGCUGUGUGAGGACGAGCCUGGC